UACAGAGGUCUCAAGCGUUGUUCGGAUUCAUUGGGCGUAAAGGGUGUGUAGGUGGCGCCGUAAGUCGGGUGUGAAAUCUCGGGGCUUAACUCCGAAACUGCAUUCGAUACUGCGGUGCUUGAGGACUGGAGAGGAGACUGGAAUUCAUGGUGUAGCAGUGAAAUGCGUAGAGAUCAUGAGGAAGACCAGUGGCGAAGGCGGGUCUCUGGACAGUUCCUGACACUGAGACACGAAGGCCAGGGGAGGCAAACGGG
rnacentral:rRNA from 1 species